GACAGAGGUCCCGAGCGUUAGGCGGAAUCACUGGGCUUAAAGCGUGUGUAGGCGGAUCUGUAAGUACCUUGUGAAAUCCCACGGCUUAACCGUGGAACUGCUCGGUAUACUGCGGAUCUUGAGCCACCUAGGGGCGAGCGGAACAAGUGGUGGUGCGGUGAAAUGCGUAGAUAUCACUUGGAACGCCAAUGGUGAAAACAGCUCGCUGGGGGUGUGCUGACGCUGAGACACGAAAGCCAGGGGAGCGAACGGG
rnacentral:rRNA from 1 species